rnacentral:rRNA from 1 species
ACUGCUCAGUAACACGUAGUUAACUUACUCUUAGCUGGAGCAUAAUCCUGGGAAACUGGGGCUAAUACUCCAUAACUGUUAGGUGCUGGAAUGCUCUUACAGUGAAAGCUCCGGCGGCUAAGAAUAGGACUGCGGCCUAUCAUGGCAGUUGUGAGUAUAAAAUACUCACAAACCUAUAACGGGUAGGGGCCAUGAGAGUGGAAGCCUCGAGAUGUUUUCUGAGACAUGAAAACAGGUCCUACGGGACGCAGCAGGUACGAAAACUUUCCAAUGCCUUAACGGGUGAGAAGGGAACCCCGAGUGGCUAUACAUAGUAUAGCCUUUUGUUUUGCCUAAAGAGCAAGGCGAAUAAGUGGUGGGUAAGACGGGUGGCAGCCGCCGCGGUAA